AGAACUUUGAAGAGAGAGUUCAAGAGUACGUGAAACCGUUCAGGGGUAAACCUGAGAAACCCAAAAGAUCGAAUGGGGAGAUUCAACGUAGACGGUGUCGAUUGCUGUGUGAUGCGCGAUAUUCUUUGCCUCGGCAUCGAGUACGCCAUUGCUGCGGUAUCAUUGGCAACGUAAGCGUGCACUUCUCCCCUAGUAGGACGUCGCGACCCGUUGGGUGUCGGUCUACGGCCCGUUUGGUCGCCUGUCGCUUGGGCGUUUAUAGCGCUUUUCGCGGCAGACCUUCGGUUGCCCGGCCGACUGCCCGGCGGUAUUGAUAAAAAUCACGAAGGUAUAUGGCCGCAUUUAUGUGCGUCCUGGCUCGUCGGCAGGCUCGCCUCGCUCGGUAAUACGGACCUAGUGCCGUUGCCGGGUGCUUGGUUGGGCUGUUAGUCGACGAUGUCCUCGGACUGGCUUGCGUACCGGUCGGCGACGCUACUGCUUUGGGUACUUUCAGGACCCGUCUUG
rnacentral:rRNA from 1 species